rnacentral:rRNA from 1 species
AUGAACGCUAGCGGCAGGCUUAACACAUGCAAGUCGAGGGGCAGCGGGGUGUAGCAAUACACUGCCGGCGACCGGCGCACGGGUGCGUAACGCGUAUGCAACCUACCCAUAACAGGGGCAUAACACUGAGAAAUUGGUACUAAUUCCCCAUAACAUUCGAAGAGGCAUCUCUUUGGGUUGAAAACUCCGGUGGUUAUGGAUGGGCAUGCGUUGUAUUAGCUAGUUGGUGAGGUAACGGCUCACCAAGGCGACGAUACAUAGGGGGACUGAGAGGUUAACCCCCCACAUUGGUACUGAGACACGGACCAAACUCCUACGGGAGGCAGCAGUGAGGAAUAUUGGUCAAUGGACGCAAGUCUGAACCAGCCAUGCCGCGUGCAGGAUGACGGCUCUAUGAGUUGUAAACUGCUUUUGUACGAGGGUAAACUCACCUACGUGUAGGUGACUGAAAGUAUCGUACGAAUAAGGAUCGGCUAACUCCGUGCCAGCAGCCGCGGUAAUACGGAGGAUUCAAGCGUUAUCCGGAUUUAUUGGGUUUAAAGGGUGCGUAGGCGGUUAGAUAAGUUAGAGGUGAAAUCCCGGGGCUUAACUCCGAAAUUGCCUCUAAUACUGUUUGACUAGAGAGUAGUUGCGGUAGGCGGAAUGUAUGGUGUAGCGGUGAAAUGCUUAGAGAUCAUACAGAACACCGAUUGCGAAGGCAGCUUACCAAACUAUAUCUGACGUUGAGGCACGAAAGCGUGGGGAGCAAACAGGAUUAGAUACCCUGGUAGUCCACGCAGUAAACGAUGAUAACUCGCUGUCGGCGAUACACAGUCGGUGGCUAAGCGAAAGCGAUAAGUUAUCCACCUGGGGAGUACGUUCGCAAGAAUGAAACUCAAAGGAAUUGACGGGGGCCCGCACAAGCGGUGGAGUAUGUGGUUUAAUUCGAUGCAACGCGAAGAACCUUACCAGGCCUUGACAUCCCUUGCAGAGGUAUAGAGAUAUAUCCGAGGUUAUCAAGGAGACAGGUGGUGCAUGGUUGUCGUCAGCUCGUGUCGUGAGAUGUUGGGUUAAGUCCCGCAACGAGCGCAACCCCUACCGUUAGUUGCCAUCAGGUGAAGCUGGGCACUCUGGCGGGACUGCCGGUGUAAGCCGAGAGGAAGGUGGGGAUGACGUCAAAUCAGCACGGCCCUUACGUCCGGGGCUACACACGUGUUACAAUGGUAGGUACAGAGGGUCGCUACCCCGUGAGGGGAUGCCAAUCUCGAAAGCCUAUCUCAGUUCGGAUUGGAGGCUGAAACCCGCCUCCAUGAAGUUGGAUUCGCUAGUAAUCGCGCAUCAGCCAUGGCGCGGUGAAUACGUUCCCGGGCCUUGUACACACCGCCCGUCAAGCCAUGGGAGCUGGGGGUGCCUGAAGUUCGUGACCGCAAGGAGCGACCUAGGGCAAAACCGGUGACUGGGGCU